AGCGAACGCUGGCGGCAGGCCUAACACAUGCAAGUCGAACGAAGCCUUCGGGCUUAGUGGCGGACGGGUGAGUAACACGUGGGAACGUACCUUUUGGUUCGGAAUAACGCAGAGAAAUUUGCGCUAAUACCGAAUGAGCCCUAAGGGGGAAAGAUUUAUCGCCGAAAGAGCGGCCCGCGUUGGGUUAGGUAGUUGGUGUGGUAAAGGCGCACCAAGCCUACGAUCCAUAGCUGGUCUGAGAGGAUGAUCAGCCACACUGGGACUGAGACACGGCCCAGACUCCUACGGGAGGCAGCAGUGGGGAAUCUUGCGCAAUGGGCGAAAGCCUGACGCAGCCAUGCCGCGUGAAUGAUGAAGGUCUUAGGAUUGUAAAAUUCUUUUACCAGGGACGAUAAUGACGGUACCUGGAGAAAAAGCCCCGGCUAACUUCGUGCCAGCAGCCGCCGUAAAAC
rnacentral:rRNA from 1 species